CCACACCCUUAUUUUCCAGAUGGUUGGAUCACAGGGGUGUUUCUUAUGAAUAGUUAAGCACUAUUCUCCCAGUGCUGUUGUUGUGGUAGAGUUCCCAGAAGAUCUGGUUGUUUAAAACUGUGCAGCACCUGCACCCUCUCUGUAAUUCUCCUGCUCCAACCAGACCUUUCAAUACCUUGACACUUCUACUUCUGCGUCACCAGCUGAGAUUUCUUCCAUUGGACAUGAGUGUCUCUGAGAACGAGGUCUUCCUGGGUUUACUGGGAACUCAUCUAUCCCAGCGUCCCAAUUGCUGGAACAACUAUGGAGGCUGCUGCACUUCUGAAGAAUUCACAAUGUGGUUCCCCUUCAAUCUUCUUCCCUUACCUACCCCUGCCCCAACUCUCCCUUUCUAGCAAAACUAGCCUCUUAUGACCAAUUAGGUCAAUAGAGUUAGGAAAAAAGUAUUAUCUUUCUGAGUCAUUGAGGUAUUCAAAAUGUGAUGUCACCAGUAUUUGUUCACAAAUGAAUUAAAAGUCACCAAAACGUAA